GCAGCAGUGGGGAAUAUUGCACAAUGGGGGAAACCCUGAUGCAGCCAUGCCGCGUGUGUGAAGAAGGCCUUCGGGUUGUAAAGCACUUUCAGUAGGGAGGAAGGUAGUGUAGUUAACACCUGCAUUAUUUGACGUUACCUACAGAAGAAGCACCGGCUAACUCCGUGCCAGCAGCCGCGGUAAUACGGAGGGUGCGAGCGUUAAUCGGAAUUACUGGGCGUAAAGCGCAUGCAGGCGGCCUGUUAAGUCAGAUGUGAAAGCCCGGGGCUUAACCUCGGAAUUGCAUUUGAAACUGGCAGGCUAGAGUCUUGUAGAGGGGGGUAGAAUUUCAGGUGUAGCGGUGAAAUGCGUAGAGAUCUGAAGGAAUACCAGUGGCGAAGGCGGCCCCCUGGACAAAGACUGACGCUCAGAUGCGAAAGCGUGGGGAGCAAACAGGAUUAGAUACCCUGGUAGUCCACGCCGUAAACGAUGUCUACUUGGAGGUUGUGGCCUUGAGCCGUGGCUUUCGGAGCUAACGCGUUAAGUAGACCGCCUGGGGAGUACGGUCGCAAGAUUAAAACUCAAAG
rnacentral:rRNA from 2 species